GCUUUAUGGUAUAUUUGUUUCGGUCUGGAAAUUUUCAAUUCUUAAAGUGACGAAAAUAAAACACAUUGCAAUUGGCAACCAGAUUUAGGUCUUGAAAUGGGCAUGAUAAUUUCAUCUAGUUCUCUUUUAUCAUUUACAAAACAUAGCAAAACAAUCAUACCAAACUCAGGCAGACGCAUAGCAAGCUUAGAUAAUUAUCUAUUUCAGGUACAUGCACUGCUCCAAGUAAAGCCAAGCACUCAUGUUUGGGCUUUUCAGACAUGAGAAUUUGAUAAAUAGGUCAUGAAUGAAAGUCUUUCGCAAUUAUGAUUAGUCAUCUUCCACAUAAUGUUUCCACCUUGAACAAUGUUUCCAACGCAAAUUCAUAAAAACUCAAAUCACAAUGUUUCCUAAAGAUACAUUACAAGUACACUUAAAAUCCCACUACAAAUAAAUUUUAUGAAUACAAGUGAAGUCUCACAUCAUGGGGGAAACAUCUUAACAAAUUACUAAAAAUUCUCUAACUUAUCUCUGCACCUCAUUAAGAUCCCAUUUCCUCCAAUAUGAAGCAGAAAAAUCUCAAAUCCUUUCAAAAUCAUAAUAACAUUAAGAUUUCAGUAUUGUCAUCUUAUUGGGAUUGAGUUAUGUUCUUGGCCUCUUGUGGACUGAAGUGCGAUUUUCAAGGAUUUAUCUAUAUCUGAUUUGAAGAUGAAUUAGGAAGCUCUUCUAAGGUGAAAUCUUUCCUGUUCUGUAUUUUACGUCUCAUUUUUUUUUAAUUAAUAAAAUCUUUUUUCUAAUGAAAACUGAAAUAAAGUAAAACUAAGCAAAUUUAAAACAUAAAAAACUUAC
rnacentral:lncRNA from 1 species